rnacentral:ncRNA from 1 species
CAAUAGGAUUUUCUAAAAUCCACUUUAAACUGUUGUAAACUUCGUU